rnacentral:lncRNA from 1 species
GUGGCACUUACCACUAAGUUAAAUGAUCUCAUUUAUAUAUUUGUUUAUACAUUUUUCCACCCAUGAGAAUUUAAGAGGGGAAAGAUUUUCUGCUGACUGCUGGGUUUCCAGCUCCCAGAAUAGUGACUGGUCCCUAUUGACCACGGAAAAAAAUGAAUGGAGUCCAAUAUUGGUAGCUCAUUUGAGUGGCUUCUGUUCAUUUUUUUUUUUUCUUUCUGAGCUAAAAGAAAAAAGGUUUUCUUCUUUUAGUCUUAACACUACUAAAUACAUGCAUUCAUUAAUUCAAUUAAUUUAAAAAAAUAUUUCUAUCACGUGCCAAGCCCUGUAAUGGGGAUGCAGAAAAAGAACAGAUACUGAAUUCAAGAAGCUUCUGAUCUGGGUGUGCACGUAUGCAGAUGGGAUGAGGGGGUAAGUGGAAGGGGAAUAGGGAUGGAAGAGGAGAGAGGAAAACAAGCAAAAUUACACAAACAAAGAAAAAAUAACAACAAAACCUCAUAGGUCACAUGGAGUCCAGAAGGAUAUAUGAUAGAUGUUUCUAUUUAUGCUGUCCCAGAUGAUCCUCCAACAAUUUUCUAAGCACCGUAGUUAUUCCAACCUUACCAGUGAUAAAAUCAUGCUCAGAGAGCUAUGACCAUAACAUUCUCAGUACCUGAGUAAUUUGAAGUAUCCAUCUCUGUCUUUUUGACUCCCAAGCCCAUGUGUUUCAUCACUUCCCAAUAUUACCUAUCCCUCCCAUGUCAAAACAAAAACAAAACAGAACCACCUACCAUAGAAAAAAGAAGACAGUGUGUGAAAACUGGGAGAAGAGUCCAAGGGAACUCGGCAUAGCUGUUGUCUAUUUGCCAGAGGAAGUUUAAGCUUUGUUUAGGGGGAUGUUACUGAGUCCAAUGAUUUCCAGUCUCAUUAAUGAUGCCACCUCUGCAACAUCAUAUAGAGGGAAUUACAGAAAAGAGGAUUAGAGCAAUGGAUUUUUGAAUCUGAAAACUGAUAAAAGCAUAAUCAGAUUAGAGGAAGGCACUGCCUAAGCUCUAAGUGAAGAAAGCUUACUGGCAAGUCAAGUCACAUGUCUCAUCUCCCAGGUUCCUAGGAAAGUGAUCUACAAGGAGAAUGGGUGAUGGAAAGCCUGAAACAGGGAGACUGUGGUUGAUUUUCCUUUUUCAAACCAUCAGACUACUGUCCCUCCAAAAUUUUUAAAGUAAUAUUAGAAGGAAAUGAACAUUUAAAAAGGAAGAGCUGGAUUUCCUGCUGUGGCUCACUGGUAACAAACCUGACUAGUAUCCAUGAGGAUGCAGAUUGGGUCCCUUGCCAGGAGCUCUGGUAUAGGUUUCAGACAUGGCUCAGAUCUGGCAUUGCUGUGGCUGUGGCAUAGGCUGGUAGCUACAGCUGCAAUUCAACUCCUAGCCUGGGAACUUUCAUAUGCCACAGGGGUGGCCAUAAAAACCAAAAAAAAUAAAAAGGAAAGAAAGAACUAGAGAAUAAAAGAGAGAAAGUAUAUGUGUUUGUGUGUAUAUAGGACACAAGACUGGGGGAAGGGGAGGAGGGAAAGAGAAGGAAAAUCAGAAGCCUUAUACAAUUAUUUGGCUUUAAAUUACAUCCUUGCAUAGCUGUGAAAUCAUUAAAUACUAAAUGUAAAAAUAUUAUACGUAUAUUACACAUAACUCAUUAUUCCUUUAUAUAACAAAUUUCCCCAAUGAUAGCAGAAUGAGGAACUUUUGAUUACUUUUAAUGGUUUAGUUAACUGCCAUUCUCAGCCUCUUUGGGGCAUUUGGUAUGUUUGUUCCAAAUUACAGUUGUUACCCUAAAACCUAGAGUGUGAGUUAUCUACCCAAGGGCAAUCUGCGUAAUUUUCAAGAGAAUUUAUUGUCUGUUAACCUUUAUUUUAGAGAAACAGAGCAUUUAUCUUCUUAUGUUAUUGGUAAAUGAUGUGAAUUUUUUUAGAAAAUGAGUGAGGUUUUUCCCUUUAUUUUUCCUAGACAAUAACAUGUUAACUGGAACUAUAAAAGGCAUACAAUCUGACUUCCUCAAGACAGAGGAAAUGCAAAUAGAGAGGUUUUUGGGGGCUCAUAAGUAAAACUACCCAAAUCACCAGGUUGGAAAUUUUAGAUUUCAUGCAGUAAGCCUUUCUUUGAGCACCAAAAUACUUUCAGAAUGUGUUAACAUGCUGGGGAAUAGUGACAUUGCUUGUACCCCAAGUAAUCCUGGAAAGAACGCACCCCUAAAGACAAACUUUUGAAUCCAAUAGUCCUGAGUCUUCAUGUUCCUGGAGAGAAGAAGCACAUGGGUUUGAAACAUUUCAGAAGAUUCUUUUCCCCUCUUCUGGGGUAUCCACUGCCAGGGGGCAAAUUCCCCCUCCUACUUAUCACUCCAACAAAAAGACUCCCCUUUCCACAAGAGUCUCUCAAACGCCAUCUCUGAUUUCCACCUUUGAAAGGCAAUGAGGCAGAAUGUUAACUCAAGUAGUCAGUGUAGGAGCAGGGGCUCUGAUACAUUCUUUGAUAUAGCUAUUGAUCAACAUUUGUGGCUUAAGGGCUCCAGAGAGAGUAACAUCCCCAGAGGCCUUGUUUUACUAUCAGAAAUGCGCCUUCCCCCACAUGGACCUUAAUCUCAAACCCACUCUUCAACUGAUAGAAAUGGAAUGAGAGAAACAGUGACUUAGUCUAAGGGAAGAGAAGGACAAAGAAACCAUAAAACUUAUGGGACAUUUCCACCCCAAAGACCCCUAUUGGACAAGGACUGA